CCCUGUGACAUACCUAAAACGUUGCCUCGGCGGGAACAGACGGCCCCGUAACACGGGCCGCCCCCGCCAGAGGACCCCCUAACUCUGUUUCUAUAAUGUUUCUUCUGAGUAAACAAGCAAAUAAAUUAAAACUUUCAACAACGGAUCUCUUGGCUCUGGCAUCGAUGAAGAACGCAGCGAAAUGCGAUAAGUAAUGUGAAUUGCAGAAUUCAGUGAAUCAUCGAAUCUUUGAACGCACAUUGCGCCCGCCAGUAUUCUGGCGGGCAUGCCUGUUCGAGCGUCAUUACAACCCUCAGGCCCCCGGGCCUGGCGUUGGGGAUCGGCGGAAGCCCCCUGCGGGCACAACGCCGUCCCCCAAAUACAGUGGCGGUCCCGCCGCAGCUUCCAUUGCGUAGUAGCUAACACCUCGCAACUGGAGAGCGGCGCGGCCACGCCGUAAAACACCCAACUUCUGAAUGUCCCCCUCGAAUCAGGUAGGAAUACCCGCUGAACUUAAGCAUAUCAAUAAG
rnacentral:rRNA from 1 species